rnacentral:lncRNA from 1 species
UGUUGAAAUAGUCACAGCACUGUGUUGCAGUGCAGGCAAACUCCUGCUUGCCAUGAGACUCGGGAUAUCCUGCAGAGAAACAGAAACACCAGCCUUGACAAAGCAUCCAGCUAAAUGUCCUUCAAAUCCUUGAUUCUAAAGAUCCAGUUUGGGUGUGAUUCUAGCAUGCACUGGACCUGGAGUACAUGCCCCACUCAGCACUGCUGUGCUCAAAGAAGUGGUUGAUAACAGAGUGCUAGCAAGGUCAGUAAAUGAGGCAAGGUCAGUAAAUGUACUUGCCAUGUAUAUGUUUCUAGCAUUUUCUCAUUCUGUGGGAAAAAUAAAAUAAAAUAAAUUAUGGAUUACCUAUGCAUAGCAUUUUGGAGAAAGUCUGUCACAUGAAGAACUUCUAUUAUGAUACAUAAAGCUUUGCUUCUUAUCAAAAUGUGAAGCACGAACAAGUCAACCAAUCCACACAGUUAAACUUGUUUUUUCAGUUGAUCCUGAACAGUACAAAUGGCAAACCAAGGCACUAUUACAUCACUCUGGGAUGCAACCUCAUAACAAGGGUAAACUGGUCUGUGUCUGUUAGCAGCUGGUACUCACUUUGCAAUACGCCUUGUCAAAUAUACCUUGCUUGGAAAGGCGAGCCCCCUGGAAAAAUGGCAAAGACAGAUCAAGCAUCCUCUUGCACAGAAACCAGGGAGAGUGAAUGUUUAAAGACCUGAGUGAAAGGGAAAUAUGUCACGCAGCAAGACAUCUGCCAGCUUGGUGUUUCAUAGCACUACCAGAGCAAAGGACAUGACUCAAGAUACAGCAGAAUGAGAGAGGAGACCAAAGAGAGAACAUGACCAAAGCAAUGAGACAUCAUUUAUUCAUACUUUUACUGCCAGAAGUAAAUAAAGUUACGCUUGUAAUUACUGCA